UACGAAGGGGGCUAGCGUUGCUCGGAAUCACUGGGCGUAAAGGGUGCGUAGGCGGGUCUUUUAAGUCAGGGGUGAAAUCCUGGAGCUCAACUCCAGAACUGCCUUUGAUACUGAAGAUCUUGAGUUCGGGAGAGGUGAGUGGAACUGCGAGUGUAGAGGUGAAAUUCGUAGAUAUUCGCAAGAACACCAGUGGCGAAGGCGGCUCACUGGCCCGAUACUGACGCUGAGGCACGAAAGCGUGGGGAGCAAACAGGG
rnacentral:rRNA from 1 species